GGUAGUUGUAGGUCAGUGGGGAAGCUGUUGAACUAGUGAUGGGAAGGUUGUGAGUUCAAAUCCCAGCACUGCCA